UACGGAGGGUGCAAGCGUUGUCCGGAUUUAUUGGGCGUAAAGAGUCUGUAGGCGUCCUGAUAAGUUGUUCUUUAAAGCCCGGGGCUCAACCUCGGAACGGGGAGCAAUACUAUCAGGAUUGAAUAAUGUCGGGGCUACUGGAACUUACGGUGUAGGAGUGAAAUCCGUUGAUAUCGUAAGGAACACCGAGGGCGAAGGCGGGUAGCUAGGCAUUUAUUGACGCUGAGAGACGAAAGCUAGGGGAGCGAAACGG
rnacentral:misc_RNA from 1 species